GCGCCGCCGCGCAGGGACGGGCGGGCGGGUGAGUGAGCGGCGGCCGCCGGUCGGGCCCGGCCGAGGCGCGCCCCGUUCGGAGCGCCGGGAGCGCGCUGCAGACGGCACCCACCGGCCGGUUCCCGUUGCCGACGGUUGAGAAGUGGCGCCAAACGACUUCCCGGUUUAACGGGGUUUCCCCCGUCGUAAACUGCGGGCCCCGGGGGCGGGGGCGCGGAGCCUCCCGCAGGGCGGUGCGGUGCCCCCCGCCGGGAACACACCCGCGGCGAGUCGCUUUUCCCGGCAGGGAAGGUGCGGAGGGGCCGGGGCCGCGGCCCGGGGCACUCCGACGGUAAGGAGGGAGCGGUGGGCCCCGGGGCCGCCCGGCCGCUGCGGGCAGAGGGAAGGCGCCGAUAACUUGGCGGUGAUUCCGUUACCGGCGCUCGCAGCGCUGCCGCUGAUGUACUUUUUUAGUAGUUGUUGGGGUCUUUUUUUGGCAAAUAAAAAUUCCUUUGCUUUUACCUUCCAGAUGCCCGGUCGGUCUCCGGGCCGGUUUAGGAGGGACGUGAUUCCUCUUUGCUGCCCGGCGGGAGCCACCGCUCCGGGGAGGUGUCACCGCCGGGCCCGGGGCCGGCCCGGCCCCCCGCCGCGGCGGAGCCCCCGCGCUUGCCCCCGUCGCGGGAAGGUUGAUCCUCUGGCGGGGAAUUAGGAGGGAAACGGCGGACUAAAGGGCCCGAGCGGGUUAUACACACGGCGGCGGGGCGCGCACCUUCCACGGCUGCCCCGGGCACGGGGGUUGGCGGAAGCCCGCCCCGGAGCCCGCAGCAUCCCUCGUUCCCCCUUUCAUGUCUCUUUUCCUCGUCCUUGGGAAGAAAAAUUAAAAAGUGAAGGAAGAAGAAAUUGGAACAUAUAAAAAGGAAGCGAAGGCAGGAAAACCCUCUCCGGUGCCGGGGCGCGGGGCUCCGGUCUGGGGCGGAGGGGCCUGGCUCGGGGUGCGGGGCCUGCCCUGGCCCGAAGAGCAUCUCCCCGUGCCGAGGCGCCCCUCCGUGUUCCUCCGGUUGUUUAAAAGCCGCGGGCCCUGUGUCCGUCCGUCCCCCGCCCCGGUGUCCCUGGAACCGGCCAUCCCCGCCCCGUCGGGGCCGCGCAGGGCGCUCCGCGUCCCCGCCCAGCUGUUGCUUUGCUUUGCCGGCGGUUGCGGGAUCAAUGGAGGCCCGGGCGGGCGCCCCCCGGCCGGUGCCCGCAGCUGGGCCGCUCCCAGGCGGAGCGGGCCCCGUUCCGCCGCCCGGGAAGGCGACAGCUGCGGGCUGGCGUCACGGGACCCUUCCCUUUGACCGCGGCCCCCUGUGACAUGUGGCGGUGGGGAUGAAUGAGGGGAGGGAGAUGAGCAGCUUAUGUCCAUCAAGCACCAGGUUUUCACAGCGAUUUUGUUGUGUUUUUUCUCUCUCCUUUCCCAGGCGUUAGCGAAAGCAGCUGGUUGUCCCCUGCCCCUCCCGCCCCGACGGCUCCGCGCAGGGCCCGGGGACGCCGAGGCGGGCACACACCACUGCGCCCCUAUCCCCACCCUGAUCCCGUCCGGUCCCCCGGGGACCGGAGCCCGCCGUACCCGGUACCCGCCGUGCCGCGGUAGUGAUUUACCGGCGGAGCUCCCUGACCCUCCCAGUACACGCACAUCCCCGUUGCCGUGGGGUGUCCAAGGGCCAAACUCCCCACCCCGGGGAAGGCGGACCCCGGCUCUGAGCGGGUAUCUGAGCGGUGAAAAUACCGGCGCUGUUCUCAGCAGGCUCCGAGAAAACAAAACCCCGCCGAGGCCGGUCGCCCGCGGGACACGGAGGGGGGCACCCACGGGGGAUGAGGGAACGGGAGAAAUCCCCACAAGCCACGGGGAUGGGCGGCACGGCAGGGCCCGGCCGGGCACAGCGCAUGGGGUAGGGAUUUGAUUUCAUUUUAGUUUGGUUUUUCAUUGUAUUUCGCAUUUCGCCCAGGCCCGAUCCCGGCCGGACCCAAGUCCACGGUGAUGGGGCGGCGGGGCCGAGCCCAUCCGUACCCUGGGGGAGAACCGGGCGGGGUGCUCAGAGCCGAGCGGCCCCGGAGCCCAAAACCAGGGAAAUUAAAAGAGUAAAAUAAUGUUAAUAAUAAAAAAACUCCCUCAAAUUUAUUUUAAAUCUGAUACAGAAGGGAAAAUAAAACCAGCCCCUUUCAGGCGCGUUUGAAUUUGCAUUUUAUAGGUGUCGUUCCCGUCUUUUUAGUUAAACAUCAUCCCGGUUAUCAGCAGCCUUUCUACACCGCUGCGCCCAUCGGUAAUGGGAUUUCUCUCUCCUUUACGGGGCACUAGUGCUGUACAAACACCGGAGCCGCUCGCCCGGCCACCGGCAGAGCCCCGGGGCCACCGCCGCUGCGGCGCAUCCCCCCGAGCGAAGCCGAGGAAGAACCGUCCCUCCCGCUCGGGCACCGACGCGUUCUCCGUGUCUAUCCCUGUUCUUUCCCUCCUUCCCGGACCCCUCCGCAUCCCGGGGGAGCGCUGCUCCCGCAUCUACCGGGGAGCACCGCGGCGGGUCGGAGCAUCCCGGGCAGCGCUGGGGGGGACAGCGCGGGUGACGGGGGGUAUGUGUGUCACCCCUUCUCCCCUUCCCAAACUUUUCCCCGCAGGAAAAGCUCCUCCGCCUAUUAAAUAUCUCCGCGGCCGCUGCCCUAACCAAACACUGAAGAUGUAAUUAAAGCCGGUAGAACAACCCCGCGCAGUAACCCCGUUGCUGGAGAGGAGCCAUCGACGCGCCAGGUUUGUUUUAGAGGAGCUUGGACUCCCAAAAAAUUCCUUAUAUUACUUAUCGGAGCGUCCCGGUUGGUUCUGCCGCGCUCGGGGCGAUGCCGGGGGGGAACUCGGCACCGUCCCCCGGCUCUGCUCGCCUUUCCAUGGCCUUAUUUAUUCUCCUGCCCCCUUGAUUAGCUCCCCCCACUCCGCCCCCCCCCCCCCCCGGUUUCUUUCCAUGUCGCUAAAUGUUGUCGCUUACACUCGAAGCUCAUGCAUUGUUUAUGGGAAAUAGAGUUAAUAAAUAAUUCCAAAUCCGA